AGAGUUUGAUCCUGGCUCAGAUUGAACGCUGGCGGCAUGCUUUACACAUGCAAGUCGAACGGCAGCACGGGCUUCGGCCUGGUGGCGAGUGGCGAACGGGUGAGUAAUGCGUCGGAACGCGCCGAGUAGUGGGGGAUAACGCAGCGAAAGCUGUGCCAAUACCGCAUACGUACUGAGGUAGAAAGUGGGGGACCUUCGGGCCUCACGCUAUUCGAGCGGCCGACGUCUGAUUAGCUAGUUGGUGGGGUAAAGGCUCACCAAGGCGACGAUCAGUAGCGGGUCUGAGAGGAUGAUCCGCCACACUGGGACUGAGACACGGCCCAGACUCCUACGGGAGGCAGCAGUGGGGAAUUUUGGACAAUGGGCGCAAGCCUGAUCCAGCCAUGCCGCGUGUCUGAAGAAGGCCUUCGGGUUGUAAAGGACUUUUGUCCGGGAGCAAAGCCUACUUGUUA
rnacentral:rRNA from 1 species